AGUGAACGCUGGCGGUAGGCCUAACACAUGCAAGUCGAACGGCAGCACAGUAAGAGCUUGCUCUUACGGGUGGCGAGUGGCGGACGGGUGAGGAAUACAUCGGAAUCUACUUUUUCGUGGGGGAUAACGUAGGGAAACUUACGCUAAUACCGCAUACGACCUACGGGUGAAAGCAGGGGAUCUUCGGACCUUGCGCGAUUGAAUGAGCCGAUGUCGGAUUAGCUAGUUGGCGGGGUAAAGGCCCACCAAGGCGACGAUCCGUAGCUGGUCUGAGAGGAUGAUCGGCCACACUGGAACUGAGACACGGUCCAGACUCCUACGGGAGGCAGCAGUGGGGAAUAUUGGACAAUGGGCGCAAGCCUGAUGCAGCAAUGCCGCGUGAGUGAAGAAGGCCUUCGGAUUGUAAAGCCCUUUUGUUAGGAAAGAACAGCAGCAGGUUUAACCCUGGCUGUUCUGACGGUACCCAAAGAAUAAGCACCGGCUAACUUCGUG
rnacentral:rRNA from 1 species